CAGUCGCCGCGGUAAUACGAAGGGUGCAAGCGUUAAUCGGAAUUACUGGGCGUAAAGCGUGCGUAGGCGGUGAGUUAAGUCUGCUGUGAAAUCCCCGGGCUCAACCUGGGAAUGGCAGUGGAUACUGGCUCGCUAGAGUGUGUCAGAGGAUGGUGGAAUUCCCGGUGUAGCGGUGAAAUGCGUAGAGAUCGGGAGGAACAUCAGUGGCGAAGGCGGCCAUCUGGGACAACACUGACGCUGAGGCACGAAAGCGUGCGGAGCAAACAGGAUUAGAUACCCGGGUAGUCCCUGUCUCUUAUAA
rnacentral:rRNA from 1 species